GUGGGGAAUCUUCCGCAAUGGACGAAAGUCUGACGGAGCAACGCCGCGUGAGUGAAGAAGGUUUUCGGAUCGUAAAGCUCUUUCGUUAGGGACGAACGUGCUCUUUGUGAAUAAUGAGGAGUAAUGACGGUACCUAAAUAAGAAGCCACGGCUAACUACGUGCCAGCAGCCGCGGUAAUACGUAGGUGGCAAGCGUUGUCCGGAAUUAUUGGGCGUAAAGCGCGCGCAGGCGGGAUAUCAAGUCUGUCUUAAAAGUGCGAGGCUCAACCUCGUGAGGGGACAGAAACUGGUAUUCUUGAGUGUCGGAGAGGAAAGUGGAAUUCCAAGUGUAGCGGUGAAAUGCGUAGAGAUUUGGAAGAACACCAGUGGCGAAGGCGACUUGCUGGCCAGCAACUGACGCUGAGGCGCGAAAGCCAGGGGAGCAAACGGGAUUAGAAACCCUGGUAGUCC
rnacentral:rRNA from 1 species